UAGGAAACUAUCCUCGCCUAGGACGUGUC
rnacentral:piRNA from 1 species